rnacentral:rRNA from 1 species
AUUGAACGCUGGCGGCAGGCCUAACACAUGCAAGUCGAACGGUAGCACAGAGAGCUUGCUCUUGGGUGACGAGUGGCGGACGGGUGAGUAAUGUCUGGGAAACUGCCCGAUGGAGGGGGAUAACUACUGGAAACGGUAGCUAAUACCGCAUAACGUCUUCGGACCAAAGUGGGGGACCUUCGGGCCUCACACCAUCGGAUGUGCCCAGAUGGGAUUAUCUAGUAGGUGGGGUAAAGGCUCACCUAGGCGACGAUCCCUAGCUGGUCUGAGAGGAUGACUAGCCACACUGGAACUGAGACACGGUCCAGACUCCUACGGGAGGCAGCAGUGGGGAAUAUUGCACAAUGGGCGCAAGCCUGAUGCAGCCAUGCCGCGUGUAUGAAGAAGGCCUUCGGGUUGUAAAGUACUUUCAGCGGGGAGGAAGGCGUUAAGGUUAAUAACCUUGGCGAUUGACGUUACCCGCAGAAGAAGCACCGGCUAACUCCGUGCCAGCCGCCGCAGUAA